rnacentral:lncRNA from 12 species
CCCUCAGAGUGGGUGCUUCACAGCUCAGUUCCUAAGCCUUCUCCUAUUAUCUCACAGAUAACUUCAAGAAGUC